rnacentral:lncRNA from 1 species
GCGAUCUGUAAUUCCUUGGUCGAAUCUUUAUCGAUUAAUGCUACCAAUCUCUCAACUGAUUUCCUUUCUCGCACUGGACGAUCACUAGUUGGAGUCUUUGGCUCUGGCAGCUUCAGUUCCUUCUUUUUGACUUUCACUUUCUCCUCAUUAACUUUCCCUCUGGCACGCUUUUUUGAUCCUUUCUCACCCUUACUACCCUCGGCCUUAUCUUCUUCUUUUGAUUUAUCAAUAGUAUCCUCGUCGGCCUCCUCCUCCUCCUCCGUCUCUGCUUCAGUUUUCUCCUUUUCAUCGCCCUCUUCCUUCUCCUCUGUCUCUUCUUCAGAUUUCUCAUUGUCAUCACCUUCUUCCUUCUCCUCUACUUCAGUUUUCUCCUCAUCAUUACCCUCUUCUUUCUCCUCAAUGCUACCCUCUGCUUCUUUUUCAGCUUCUAUUUUUUCCUUUUCUUCUUUAUCUUCUGUAGUUUCCUUAACCUCAGCAUCAACAUCCAUUUUCUCAUUCUCAGAUUCAGCAACAUUUUUGUCAUCCUCUUCCAUUUCUUGGAUGUCAUCAUCAUCAUUCUUAUCCUCCACUGGUUCUUUCACACUAUCAACUUCCAUAUCAUCUUUUACUUCUUCCACCUCAUUAUCAUUCUUUUCCACCUUUACUUCAUCUGCACCAUCAACUUCCUUAUCCUCUUUUACUUCUUCCACCCCAUCAUCUUUCUUCUCCUCUUUUACUUCACCAGCCCCUUCAUCUUUCUUCUCCUCUUUCACUUCUUCCACCGCAUCGUCUUUCUUAUCCUCUUUUACUUCUUCCACCACAUCGUCUUUCUUAUCCUCUUUUACUUCUACCACAUCACCAUUCUUAUCCUCUUUUACUUCAUCAGCUACAUUGUCUUUCUUAUCAUCUUUCACUUCUUCCACUCCAUCAUUUUUCUUAUCCUCUUUUACUUCAUCGCCCCCAUCGGCUUUCUUAUCCUCUUUUACUUCUCCCACCGCAUCUUCAUCUUUCUUAUCCUCUUGUACCUCCUCCACACCCUCAUCUUUCUUAUCUUCUUCAAUUUCUUUUACAUCAUUUUCUUUCACCUCUUUGACUCCGUUACUCUCCAAGACUUUCCCUCCAUCAGUUUCCAAGUCUUUCUUCUCAACAACAUCCCCUAACGAUUUCACAGGAACGCUGCCUCCAUUUGAAUCAGUCUUAGAAACUUCAGCCACUACUUCUUCCUCACCCAUACUGAUCUUGCUUAGAUAGAUCUAAAAAACUACACAAUCC